rnacentral:rRNA from 1 species
UAGUGAACUGCGGGAAGGAUCAUU